rnacentral:rRNA from 1 species
AUGGGCUUUAUAAAGAAGACAGCUAAAUGUCUGAAGACGCUGCGGAAGCGUCAUCGUAUUGCUGAUCAGAUGGAGGAGCUCAAGGUUCUUGCUCUACAGGCAAAUGAACGACGCAUGAGGUACAAGAUUGAUGAUUGCAUCAAUUCUGCUUCCCGCGUCAUUCAUGUUGAUCCUCGCAUGUCUGCAAUCUAUAAGGAUGCAAAGGGUCUGUUAGGAUCUCAGUACCAAUUUACUCAAUCAACCAUGGAUUCGGUUACAACUCUCGAAUUACAGAGGAGGAAAGGAAGGAGACCAGAGGAACAAGAUGAUGAACAGUGUCUAUCCUAG